AAAACUAAGAGAUAUUACUUCUACCUUAUUGAAGAACAAAAGUUGUUCGGCAUUUUUUUUGAAAAGUUCCUUAGUGAAAGAACUGAUGCUUCCAAGGUUGAACUUGAUGAAGUUCGAUUGGUAGAAGAACUGACACAAUCUAGUGAAUCUAUAGAAUUGGAUUUGAUUAGAUCAAAUCCGAAACCCGUUGUAAAGGCACCGUUAAGGAGAUCCGGUAGAGUACCACAUCUGUCGAACAGAUACUUUGAUUUUUAGAUCCGAGACGUGAUCCUGUC
rnacentral:lncRNA from 1 species